AAUUUUAUGGUUAUGGUCUUAUGUUUCUGUCACUCAAUUAUAUUGUUCUUCAUAUUGAUGAGAAUAAGAAAUAAAAUGUGAUGGUCACAUAUCUCAAGGCAACAAGGUAUUAAGUUUUGAACAUAUGGAUAUUCGAAAGCUAAUAAUAUCUCGAUCCAGAGAUAGACACUUCAUAUGUGAUAUGAUAUUUUCUCUAAAAUGCUUCACAAAUAUUAUUGUCUCUUUCUGGAGAUACAUCUUGAAAAUUACUGUAUGAAUUAAAUACUAUUAAAAUCUAUUACAAGCACUCCAUAUGAGAUAUGGAAAAGGCAAUUUUAGAGAAAAUAUCUCAUAUGGAGUGCCCAACUUAUAUGAAAAGAGUUGAUGUACAUAAGUUUGUGC
rnacentral:lncRNA from 1 species